AUGAACGCUGGCGGCGUGCCUAAUACAUGCAAGUCGAGCGAACAGACGAGGAGCUUGCUCCUCUGACGUUAGCGGUGGACGGGUGAGUAACACGUGGAUAACCUACCUAUAAGACUGGGAUAACUUCGGGAAACCGGAGCUAAUACCGGAUAACAUGUUGAACCGCAUGGUUCAACAGUGAAAGACGGUCUUGCUGUCACUUAUAGAUGGAUCCGCGCCGCAUUAGCUAGUUGGUAAGGUAACGGCUUACCAAGGCAACGAUGCGUAGCCGACCUGAGAGGGUGAUCGGCCACACUGGAACUGAGACACGGUCCAGACUCCUACGGGAGGCAGCAGUAGGGAAUCUUCCGCAAUGGGCGAAAGCCUGACGGAGCAACGCCGCGUGAGUGAAGAAGGUCUUCGGAUCGUAAAACUCUGUUAUUAGGGAAGAACAAAUGUGUAAGUAACUAUGCACGUCUUGACGGUACCUAAUCAGAAAGCCACGGCUAACUACGUG
rnacentral:rRNA from 1 species